UACGUAGGGGGCAAGCGUUGUUCGGAAUUACUGGGCGUAAAGGGCGCGUAGGCGGCACAGCAAGUCGGGUGUGAAAGCCCUCAGCUCAACUGAGGAAGUGCGCCCGAAACUGCAGAGCUUGAGUGCCGGAGAGGGUAGUGGAAUUCCCGGUGUAGUGGUGAAAUGCGUAGAUAUCGGGAGGAACACCAGUGGCGAAGGCGACUACCUGGCCUGUUCUUGACGCUGAGGCGCGAAAGCUGGGGGAGCAAACGGG
rnacentral:rRNA from 1 species